rnacentral:rRNA from 1 species
UCUUUCUUUUGCUGGCGACCGGCGCACGGGUGAGUAACACGUAUCCAACCUGCCCUUUACUCGGGGAUAGCCUUUCGAAAGAAAGACUAAUACCCGAUAGUAUAAUGAUUCCGCAUGGUUUCAUUAUUAAAGGAUUCCGGUAAAGGAUGGGGAUGCGUUCCAUUAGGUUGUUGGUGAGGUAACGGCUCACCAAGCCUUCGAUGGAUAGGGGUUCUGAGAGGAAGGUCCCCCACAUUGGAACUGAGACACGGUCCAA